CGGACGGGUGAGUAACACGUGGAUAACCUACCUAUAAGACUGGGAUAACUUCGGGAAACCGGAGCUAAUACCGGAUAAUAUAUUGAACCGCAUGGUUCAAUAGUGAAAGACGGUUUUGCUGUCACUUAUAGAUGGAUCCGCGCCGCAUUAGCUAGUUGGUAAGGUAACGGCUUACCAAGGCAGCGAUGCGUAGCCGACCUGAGAGGGUGAUCGGCCACACUGGAACUGAGACACGGUCCAGACUCCUACGGGAGGCAGCAGUC
rnacentral:rRNA from 1 species